CUACGGGGGGCAGCAGUGGGGGAUAUUGCACAAUGGGCGAAAGCCUGAUGCAGCAACGCCGCGUGAAGGAAGACGGUUUUCGGAUUGUAAACUUCUAUCAGCAGGGAAGAAAAUGACUGUACCUGACUAAGAAGCCCCGGCUAACUACGUGCCAGCAGCCGCGGUAAUACGUAGGGGGCAAGCGUUAUCCGGAAUUACUGGGUGUAAAGGGUACGUAGGCGGCUGAUCAAGUCAGAUGUGAAAGCCCGGAGCUCAACUCCGGGACUGCAUUUGAAACUGGUCGGCUAGAGUGCAGGAGAGGAAAGUGGAAUUCCUAGUGUAGCGGUGAAAUGCGUAGAUAUUAGGAAGAACACCAGUGGCGAAGGCGGCUUUCUGGACUGUAACUGACGCUGAGGUACGAAAGCGUGGGGAGCGAACAGGAUUAGAUACCCUGGUAGUC
rnacentral:rRNA from 1 species